ACGCUGGCGGCAGGCCUAACACAUGCAAGUCGAGCGGAAACGACACUAUCGAUCCUUCGGAUGCUUUAAUGGGCGUCGAGCGGCGGACGGNUGAGUAAUNCCUAGGAAAUUGCCUUGAUGUGGGGGAUAACCAUUGGAAACGAUGGCUAAUACCGCAUAAUGCCUACGGGCCAAAGAGGGGGAUCUUCGGACCUCUCGCGUCAAGAUAUGCCUAGGUGGGAUUAGCUAGUUGGUGAGGUAAUGGCUCACCAAGGCGACGAUCCCUAGCUGGUCUGAGAGGAUGAUCAGCCACACUGGAACUGAGACACGGUCCAGACUCCUACGGGAGGCAGCAGUGGGGAAUAUUGCACAAUGGGCGAAAGCCUGAUGCAGCCAUGCCGCGUGUAUGAAGAAGGCCUUCGGGUUGUAAAGUACUUUCAGUUGUGAGGAAGGGKGURWMGUUAAUAGCKKYRYMUCUUGACGUUAGCAACAGAAGAAGCACCGGCUAACUCCGUGCCAGCAGCCGCGGUAAUACGGAGGGUGCGAGCGUUAAUCGGAAUUACUGGGCGUAAAGCGCAUGCAGGUGGUUCAUUAAGUCAGAUGUGAAAGCCCGGGGCUCAACCUCGGAACUGCAUUUGAAACUGGUGAACUAGAGUGCUGUAGAGGGGGGUAGAAUUUCAGGUGUAGCGGUGAAAUGCGUAGAGAUCUGAAGGAAUACCAGUGGCGAAGGCGGCCCCCUGGACA
rnacentral:rRNA from 1 species